CUUACAUUGAGAUUCCUUAUAAUUUAAAUCAUCCAUCCUUACAAUAGGUUUCGGAAAACCGAUGCAAUUGAACCUUCUUUGGAUGAGAAACAUGGGAAUAUGCAACAGCAAGGUGUAGGAUGAUACGCCCACAACUCAAAAGUCACGUACCACGAGAGAGCUUCUAGACGAUCCAGACCACCAUCAAUUCGUGCUUUAGGCAACCUCUCGGGGCAAGUAAACUUUGAAUUCCACGAAUCACUCUGACUCUGGUUGGUUCCAUUACUGACAAAAAGGAGGGAUUUACUCCGCAGAACAAACUCCUUGACACCGUCACAAAUUACCUCAGCAGAAGAUGUUGUCACAAAUCAGAACACUGGAAAUUCGGCAUCCUUGGGUAUGUAAAAUGGAAGCAACUCACGAGGAAAAGUUAAACUGAAUUCGUAGGAGUUUAAAAAUGACGUAAUCAUUCUAGAAUGUGAUUUUAAGAAAGGAACACGAAUAUCUCAAAAACCUUUUGACCGCUUCCUCUUUAAUAUACACAAAUUGACUCAAAAUGUUUUUUAACAGACAAAACAGAAGCUUUCUAUGGCAAGGGAUCUAUUUGGUCAAAAAAACUUCCACAGUCUCCUUCACGUUUUGAAUGUGCUGAUACAUACAGUAGGGAAAGAAAGUGGGAGAAAAGCUGACGUCGUAUUUUCAUAAACGGAUGGACUACGAGGACAGAUCACAGAAACUCAGUAUAGAAGGCAGCAGAAACUUUAAUCAAACAAGUCAUAAAUCUCCCCAUGAAUAGCUGUUUUAGAGAUGGUAUCGAGCGCCCCAACCCCCCCAAUCCACCACCGCCACAUUUGAAGUUGCAAAGCUAGAAAGGAAUUAUUGGACAGGUUUUAGAAGGUCUAAACACAAUUUCCGAUGGUUCUAAAUUGCUAUAUCCUGUCCACUAAGCAUGUGACUCUUGUAAGAACUAUCGACCCUGCUCUGUUUUUAUUGGCAGGAAGCCAGGAACAAAUUGUUGUAGAAUAAAGUGUAGAACCAUACCUGUAUCGAUACCUCACUCGGCAAAGUGUAUCAACUUAAUACUGAAACAGAAAAGAGAGGGAAAAAGAAGUGCAUUUAAAUGGCAGCUUUGUUGCAUGGUGGACUAGUUAAAUUGGCACAGGCACUAAUGUAUAGUCAAGUAGGAGAAAAAACGAGAAAAGAAAAAAAUGACAAAGGACGCUUAAAGCAAGCAAGACACUGCUCCAACUCUUUGAAGGGAACACAGGACAGGAUGCAUCAAGCAUUGGAAGGCACAAGCACUUAACAGUAAAACUAAGAGAGAAAGGUUAUCAUAGUCAAACAGGAAACAAAACGUUAUUGAUCCUCAUGGUAUGGUGGUGUUGAUCGAACACAGAGU
rnacentral:lncRNA from 1 species